rnacentral:rRNA from 1 species
AACGAACGCUGGCGGCAGGCUUAACACAUGCAAGUCGAACGCACCGCAAGGUGAGUGGCAGACGGGUGAGUAACGCGUGGGAAUCUACCCAGAACUUCGGAACAACUGAGGGAAACUUCAGCUAAUACCGGAUACGCCCUACGGGGAAAGGAUUAUCGGUUCUGGAUGAGCCCGCGUUGGAUUAGCUAGUUGGUGAGGUAAUGGCUCACCAAGGCGACGAUCCAUAGCUGGUCUGAGAGGAUGAUCAGCCACACUGGGACUGAGACACGGCCCAGACUCCUACGGGAGGCAGCAGUGGGGAAGUAUUGGACAAUAGGGCGAAAGCCUGAUCCAGCCAUGCCGCGUGAGUGAUGAAGGCC